rnacentral:rRNA from 1 species
UACGGAGGAUGCGAGCGUUAUCCGGAUUUAUUGGGUUUAAAGGGUGCGUAGGCGGGAUGCCAAGUCAGCGGUAAAAAUGCGGUGCUCAACGCCGUCGAGCCGUUGAAACUGGCGUUCUUGAGUGGGCGAGAAGUAUGCGGAAUGCGUGGUGUAGCGGUGAAAUGCAUAGAUAUCACGCAGAACUCCGAUUGCGAAGGCAGCAUACCGGCGCCCUACUGACGCUGAGGCACGAAAGCGUGGGUGUCGAACAGG